UACAGAGGUCUCAAGCGUAGUUCGGAUUCAUUGGGCGUAAAGGGUGCGUAGGCGGCGCGGUAAGUCGGGUGUGAAAUCUCGGAGCUUAACUCCGAAACUGCAUUCGAUACUGCCGUGCUUGAGGACUGGAGAGGAGACUGGAAUUUACGGUGUAGCGGUGAAAUGCGUAGAUAUCGUAAGGAAGACCAGUGGCGAAGGCGGGUCUCUGGACAGUUCCUGACGCUGAGGCACGAAGGUCAGGGGAGCAAACGGG
rnacentral:rRNA from 1 species